GCAGAAUACGUGACAUGUAUCAUAGACAAGGCAGCCGACACCCUGAGACAGGAGUUACCUAGCAACACAACGACCGUAACAGUGAGACCAGCAGACGACAACAUUUCACUGUCCUCUAGUAUCAUCAGCCGAAUUGCUGAUAUGGUUGUCACGGAGAGUCUGUCAAAUAUUGUGAUAGAUGCCGACAUUAACCAAUCUGCAACAAGAGCUCCUAGAACUAUCAAAGAAUAUAAGGAAGCAUUUGGCAUAACCGGAUAUGACGUCAUUGAUGACGGCCUUCCACCCGUAAGCGUGUAAGAGUACAAGAAGAGGAAAGAAACAACGCGUGUGGUUUUUGAUUGUUUGUUUUUGUUUGUUUACUUGUUUUGUUGUUGUUUGUUAUUUGUGUUUUAAUUUUCCUUCGUACUGUUGUGUGAGUGUGUGUGUCCUUUUUUGUCAUUUUUGUGUGUUAUGUUUUGUUUUUGUUUUGCUUUGCUUUGCUUUGCUUGUUUGUUUUUCAUGUUUUUCGUUAGUGUACAUGUUCUGCUUAAGCAUCGAAUUAAUUUCUUAUAUAUUAUUGUCAUAAAAA